GAACUAACUGCUCGCUGCUGACCUGCCGGCCUCGUUGCCCUCCUUCUCUCUGUGGCUGUGGGCAAGUGACUCACUUCUUAGUCUUCUCUCUUGGAAAACCGGCGGCUGGACCAGCUGCUCCCCGUGGUCCCUGCCAGCGCUGGCUCGCCGGGAUUCCAUCUCCCCACCCUCUCUGGGUUCUCCACGCUCUGGGCUGUCAUUGCAGCGUGGAUCGUAAUGCACGUAAUGCAGUGUGACAUGCAUUCCAGCACCCUGAUGGCCAUGGGCUCUCCCUCGGCUCAGGCCCGCCCUGGGGAGCUGCGGAGGCUGUGUUGAGCUCAGCUCCUCAUCUUAAUUCUGCAAACCUGUUUUGAGGUCUGGUCUGGUUCCCAGCUGAGCACUCAGGUACUGUGGGUGGGGUCUCUUGGCCUGGGGUCUGCCCGGCGCACCAUGAAUCAUCAGCCAGACAGGGUCUUUCAGAAGCGGGACUGUCCAUCCCUGUUCUCCAGGCAUGAUCAUGUCUGUUCAUCAGAGAUCAUCUUUACGGAGGUAGAGAAGAGCUUCCGUCUCCGGGGUCACGUGUUGUACUUUGCACAUCCUCCGUGGUGAGGUUCUUUUCUAGAUCUAGCCCAAAUCUUCAAGAAGGCUUAAAACAAAGCUGCAUUUUAAGGGCUUCUGGGUGGAGGAAUCAGAUUAGAUCCAUUCUGCUCAGCUUUCUCUCACCAGAAGUGGGGGCUCCGCCCUCUGAGUGGGAAGGGACCCAUUCCUUUCACUUCCCCGCUCCCUGGCUAGGUCAGCCCACACCUGGCUUGGGCCAGAGCUGCAGUUGCUGUUGGCACCCAAAUGGUCUGAGGCUGUUAGGUAACAGGUCUUGGCCAGACAUUCUGGUUCCGCAGGUACAGCCUACAAGUUAAAAAUUGUUCUAAAAAUGCAGGGCAAGCUGUCUAAACACACACAGGCCUGGGGAGGGGGGAGGUUGUGGGACAGAGGCCAUAGUCAGUGGAGGGAUGUGUUUUCCACAGGGACUCUGGGCUCAGAGCCCUGACUCCAAACCAAGCAUCAAACUCAGGGAAGAGUGGCCCAGACCUGCUGCAGGGACGAGGGGCCCAGACCCGCUGCAGGGACGAGGGGCCCAGAC
rnacentral:lncRNA from 1 species